UACGAAGGUGGCAAGCGUUGUUCGGAUUCACUGGGCGUACAGGGAGCGUAGGCGGUUGGGUAAGCCCUCCGUGAAAUCUCCGGGCCUAACCCGGAAAGUGCAGAGGGGACUGCUCGGCUUGAGGACGGGAGAGGAGCGCGGAAUUCCCGGUGUAGCGGUGAAAUGCGUAGAGAUCGGGAGGAAGGCCGGUGGCGAAGGCGGCGCUCUGGAACGUUUCUGACGCUGAGGCUCGAAAGCGUGGGGAG
rnacentral:rRNA from 1 species